AGUGGUUCGAGGUUGCCAUCUUGGAUAGUUAUUUCUCCCAGUUUGGUGCAACCUCAAACAAAAAAGCAUUGGCAAUUUUAGUAUUUUUGGUGGGAAACUAAUGAAAGUGAAAAAUUUUUGUAAUGGGUGUAGUUUACAAUGCCAAGUUAGUUACAAUAAUGCAGGUAUUGGAUAUUGGUGGACUCGGAAUCCAUUUCAUUCAUGCUAAGCCCAGUAAAGAAUUGAUGAAAAACAAAAAAGUUUUACCGUUGCUGCUUCUUCAUGGAUGGCCAGGCUCAUUCAUAGAGUUCACAAAAAUUAUUCCCUUGCUCACUA